rnacentral:rRNA from 1 species
CCCUUAGAUGUUCUGGGCCGCACGCAUGCUACACUGAGUGGAUCAGCGGGUCAGGUUGCGCGAAAGUGUUUCCUAAUCUUUAAAUCCGCUCGUGAUGGGGAUUGACGGUUGCAAUUUUCCGUCAUGAACGAGGAAUACCUUGUAAGCGCGGGUCAUCAUCCCGCGCUGAAUACGUCCCUGCCCUUUGUACACACCGCCCGUCGCUCCUACCGAUUGAGUGGUCCGGUGAGGCUUUGGGAUCUGAGCGGAAAGAGCGUUUCGCUGUUUCUGCUCGGAAAACUCAGUCGAACCUUAUCAUUUAGAGGAAGGAGAAGUCGUAACA